GACGAACGCUGGCGGCGUGCUUAACACAUGCAAGUCGAACGGUAAGGCCCUUCGGGGUACACGAGUGGCGAACGGGUGAGUAACACGUGGGUGAUCUGCCCUGCACUUCGGGAUAAGCCUGGGAAACUGGGUCUAAUACCGGAUAGGACCCUGGGAUGCAUGUCCUGGGGUGGAAAGCUUUUGCGGUGUGGGAUGGGCCCGCGGCCUAUCAGCUUGUUGGUGGGGUGAGGGCCUACCAGGGCGACGACGGGUAGCCGGCCUGAGAGGGUGACCGGCCACACUGGGGCCGGAAAACGGCCCAUACUCCUACGGGAGGCAGAAGUGAGGAAUGUGGCGCAAUGGGCGCAAGCCUGAUGCAGCGACGCCGCGUGAGGGAUGACGGCCUUCGGGUUGUAAACCCCUUUCAGCACCGACGAAGCGCAAGUGACGGUAGGUGCAGAAGAAGGACCGGCCAACUACGUGCCAGCAGCCGCUGUAA
rnacentral:rRNA from 1 species